CGUUGCCGCUCUGCAGCUACGCGCGCGUCCGCUAGCACACGGCCGCUAGCUGCACCGCCCAAGAAACAGUAGACGCGCUUUGGAACGGGCAUGUCGCAUUAGAUUCUCCGGAGCAGCAACCAUUGUUUCCUUCCGUAGCUCGCCGUCCCGCUUUGCCGCCGCUUGCCGACUACCGCUGCAGUAGUUGGAGUGUUGCUUUGCGCGCGGCGGUACACUCUUAAUUUGUGUGUGCUCGUGAGCCAACGCUGCCUCACGAGCUUCUCUUGCUGCGGCUGCGUGGUGCUGCUACUCGCGGCGGUCUCUUCGGUCAUGGAUCGGAGUCGGAGGCGGCAAUGGGGCGUCGCCUGCGCGGUGCUGCUCCUGUCGGCGCUCCUGGGGGCCGUAUCCUCGCAGUCGCCGGCUCCGGCGCUGGCGCCCAAGCCGCCAGCUACGCCAUCGCGCACUGCGGUGCCACCGGCGACGAAGCCAGCGCCACCGGCGCCGAAGCAGACACCUAGUCCUUCGGCGUCGCCGGCGCCAAAGCCAUCGACACCGCCUACGGCGUCGCCUGUUCCAAAGCCUCCGUCUCCGCCUGCGCCUGCACAGGCGCCAAAGCCUUCGUCCCCACCACCCGCGGCGUCACCGGUUCCAAAGCCGCCGGCGCAGGCGCCGAAGCCCUCGUCCCCACCACCUGCGGCGCCACCGGUUCCCAAGCCCGUGUCUCCACCACCGGCAGCGCCAAAGCCGUCGCCUGCAGCGCCGGCGCCGUCCCAAAAGCCGGCUCCCGCGCCGGCUCCGAAACCGUCUCCUCCUACGGCGACGGCACCACCACCGACACAAAAACCAUCUGCUCCUCCAACCCCGCCGCCGACUCCGGCGCCGUCGUCCUCGCUGGCUCUAUCGCCGAGCUUCUACGCGAGCUCCUGCCCCAGCGUGGAGCUGGCGGUGAGCGACGUCGUCAGGUCGGCAUCCACCUUGGACCCCACCGUCCCCGGCAAGCUCCUCAGGAUGGUCUUCCACGACUGCUUCGUAGAGGGAUGCGACGCGUCGGUGAUGGUCCAAGGCAACGGCACGGAGAGGACCGAUCCCGCGAACCUCUCGCUCGGCGGGUUCAAUGUGAUCGACGAAGCCAAGAGGCUGCUCGAAGCCGUGUGCCCUGCAACCGUUUCUUGCAGUGACAUCCUAGUCCUCGCUGCAAGAGAUGCUGUCACAUUUACGGGAGGACCAUCGGUGCCCGUCUCCCUUGGGCGACGUGAUAGCCUCGUCUCCCUGGCAUCCAACGUCCGGAGAAACAUCAUCGACACGGGCUUCUCUGUCGACGCCAUGGCGGCCAGCUUCACCUCCAAGGGGCUCACCCUGGAGGACCUUGUCACCCUCUCAGGCGGCCACACGAUCGGGUCAGCGCACUGCGGCACGUUCCGGGAGCGGUUCAGGUCCGACGCGAACGGGAGCAUGGUGCCCGUGGACGGCACGAUGAACACCGACUACGCGAACGAGCUGGUGCGGACGUGCGUGGCGUCGGCGAGCGCAACGGUGGACUGCGACGAGGGGUCGGCGGCGACGUUCGAUAACCGGUACUUCAGCAACCUGCUGGACGGGCGGGGGUUGCUGCGCACGGACGCGGUGCUGGUGCAGAACGCCACGACGAGGGCCACGGUGGCCGCGUUCGCACAGAGCCAGGAUAGCUUCUUCAGCAGCUGGGCGAGCUCGUUCGCCAGGCUCACCAGCCUCGGCGUCAAGACCGGCUCCGACGGCGAGAUCCGGCGGCUCUGCUCAAGCGUCAACGGCGGCUGAUCGGUCGAGUAGUACUUGUUCGGCCAUCCAUGGACAUGUAACAGCAACACAUAUGUUAUAUAGACUUUCGCUAGGUGCUGCGAGGACGUUGUAUUCUGCUGCUGCGACUGGCAAGGCCCCGACGACUUCCACGCCGCAGAUAUCUGCUUCAGCUCUUGCGUCCGCCGAAAAGGCUGCUACCAAGUCCCCUGUGAAAUGAACAUUUGAAGAUCAUGUAAUAGCGUAGGGUUUUGUACUUGUAAGGUUUAAAGACAAGGCUGUGCAACCCUAGGGUGCUGUCCUAA